AUGACUCCUUACCAGAUCGCCAUCGCUCGACGGCAAGCCGGAAUGCAUCCAGCCGGCCAGGGAGUUGGUGUCCAGCAGGGCAACGUGGCGGCCCAGAUUGUUCCUGCUGCCAUCCAGCCCCAAGUGCAACACCUCCCGCCGGCGGCCAACAACCUGAUUGCUGAAGCCAUUAGGCCGGUUGCCGCAGCCGGAGCCACCACUGGAGCACAAGGCCUCGCCAUUCUUUUUAAUUUUUACAUGAGGACAUGUGAAGGAAUCACACCUGUAUAUAUGGCCAAAGGGGGCCAAAGAAGAUUACAGAUUUACAGAGGCAUGGCAAGCCGUGUGGUAAGGUAG
rnacentral:rRNA from 1 species